UACGUAGGGGGCAAGCGUUGUCCGGAAUCAUUGGGCGUAAAGCGCGCGUAGGCGGCCCGGUAAGUCCGCUGUAACAGUCCAGGGCUCAACCCUGGAAAGCCGGUGGAUACUGUCGGGCUAGAGUCCGGAAGAGGCGAGUGGAAUUCCUGGUGUAGCGGUGGAAUGCGCAGAUAUCAGGAGGAACACCGAUGGCGAAGGCAGCUCGCUGGGACGGUACUGACGCUGAGGCGCGAAAGCGUGGGGAGCGAACAGG
rnacentral:rRNA from 1 species